UGUGUACUCCCUCCGUUCCAAAAUACUUGACUUCCAUUUGUCCAAAAAUGGAUGUACCUAUAUACUAAAACAUGUAUAGAUACAUAUAUAUUUUGACAAAUAGAAGGCAUGUAUUGUGCAACGGAGGGAGUAGAAU
rnacentral:pre_miRNA from 1 species